AGUUCCCUCGAAUCGGGAGCAGGCCGCGCAGGCGCAGGAGUGUCUGCAGUGCCUUUUCUGUUGCAUGCUUGCUGCGGGGCAGAGUGCUGGGCUUGGUGGUCCCUGUGUAGACUUGCCCACGGCUGCAUGGGACAGGAAAGGCCCUGCAGACUCAUCCUGCCAGAGAAGUCAACCAUGAACCAACCUGGACACAGAAUAUUUAUUUAUUUAUGACAGUAUUUCUUCCCAAACCUUCUCACCCAAUAAGGGGAGACUCAGGGUGGCUUACAAAUAGAAAAUACACAUAUAAACAAUUACAAUGACAUUUCAAUUCAAUUCAAAAUUCAGUGACAUUAAAACAUUCAUAAAACUAUUAUUAUUAAGGCAAAAAUUCAAUGCCGUAUUAUACAAAGCAAAAAAAACAUAACAUAAAAUCAAUAGGAACAAUCAACAUAUAAAUACACUUUAGUGCCAUGUAGGCAGAGUUAAAUACUCUUUGGCACUUGCCAGAGGUACUUGGGGUGCAAGAAAAUUAUAUAUAAUAAAUAUUAUAAAUAAUAAUAAUAAUACAAAAUAAUACUUUAUUUUUAUAUUCCCGCUCCCAUCUCCCCCAGGAGGACUCGGGGUGGCUCACAUGGGAAACAAGCCCAAUGUCACAUGUAAUAAACAGUCAUACAUUAAAAAUAUAAACAAUAUAAACAAUUAAACCAUAUAACAGCAUAUCAGAACAAUGAGUCUGAGCAUAGUACAAUAUAUAUAUAGAGAGGCAAAAAUUAUACAGGUACUUUAUUUGUAAAAACAAGGUCAGGUGUAUAAAAUGCAGUAACAUAAACUGUCCUGUAAUCUAGAUGUUUAAUGCUGUCAAAUAUUUAACGUUGUGCCUUUGAAUAAUAACCAGAACACACUUUUUUGGGAAGAGUUUUAUUCUUGAAAGCUGACCUCGUUGGAAAGGGGUCGACCUCAGCAGCUCCGAAAAGGCAAGGCGUCCUGCUCUCCGCUCUCUCUCUGGGAUCUCCGUCCGUCCGUCCGUCCGUCCUUCCGUCCUUGGCUCUUGUCCAGGAGGAGCCCCUCCCUCGGGGAUUUUGGAGACAUGGAACAAGGGAGAAGACAGGGGUCAGGAGGGCUGAACCCAGGGGAGCAUCUCGCUUUUGGGGGGCUCUUGGGAACGACAGGAGCAAAGGCACCGCUUUACGCACGUGGCUUUUCCUCCUGCUAAGAGGAGAGGAUCCCCUGUCACCAGGCAUUUGUGGGGGUCCCUGGGGGGGUGGCCCUGCACGGAGACAAGGGGGGGGGUCCUGGGCCCCACGUUUGCAUUCAGAAACAGGCUCCCGUGCGCCAGACCUUUGCGUGAGGAACGCGGCUGCCCCUGGGAGGGAGGGAGGGAGGGCCGUCCGUUGGCCCUGGGCGGAUGGUGGGGGGCUUUCCUAGGCCGUCGGAUGGGGGCAGAGCGGAUGGGGGCCAAGCCCGGUACCACAGGGAGGCCUCUGGGGGCCCGGGCGGGGGACUCCCAGCACAGGGCAGGGGCCGGGGGGCCGGGGGGGCCGGAGCCCUUCUUCCCACGGGAGGCCCGGAGGCCCCCUCCCACUUGGUUCUUGCCAACAGGCAAAAACAGUCCUAUUUAAAAGCCUAGCCUGCCCGGGUUAGAACUGGGUUAGUAGGGUUAGCGGUUAGUGCAGGGAUUAAUCUGAGCUACUACAUCCCGGGGACGUUUUAAAAUGCCCGUGACGUGGGCUGAGAGCGGCCCCUCGGGUCCCCAGGGGGGUGCCAAGGCCGGGCCCCCGCUCUCCCCCCAGCCGUGACCCCCUGCCUGUGCAGGGAGACCCCCCCCCCCCACGACCUGCCCAGGGCAAAGGGAGGACCCGUCCGUCACCGAGUGGGGCCUCAACGCCACGCACAAGGGGAGCCGUGGGUGGUGUUCCUUGCGCAAAGGCCUAGCGCACUGCUCUUGAAUGCAAAGGCCUAGGAGCCUGCUCUUUAAUGCAAAGGUAGGCGUUAAAUGCCUGGUCUAACAUUAAUGACAGGGGAUCUCAGUGGGGGGGCCCUCUCCAUCAGUGGGGGGCCCCUCCCCCUAGCAACAACAUACUACUAUAUAACAUACUAAUAUUGUGCUAGGAUAAUAAUAUACUCUAUUGUAUAUUAAUGUCAUAUUGAUACUAAUAUGAAUAAAUAAUAUGAACAUACAUACUACUAUAUAACAUAAUAACAUUGUGCUAGGAUAAUAAUAUACUCUAUUGCAGGGGUCCCCAAACCUUUUAAACAGGGAGCCAGUUCACGAUCCUUCAGACCAUUGCAGGGCCAGACUAUAGUUGGCCACCAAGCAAUAAUAAUAAUUAAUAAUAAUAAUAAUAAUAAUAAUUAUGAGGGUUGGAAGGGUUGGCCAUUGAGUCCAAUCCCUUUCUGCCUUUGUGCACCGAAAGCACAAGCAAAGCACCCCUGACAGCCUCAAUGCUAAUAAUAAUAAUAAUAAUAAUAAUAAUAAUAAUAAUAAUAAUAAUAAUAAUAAGGGUUGUGCUGUGGGGGCCGGAUAAAUGGCUUCGAUGGGCCGCAUCCCGCACACGGGCCUUAGUUUGGGGACCCCUGCUCUAUUGUAUAUUAAUGUAAUAUUGAUACUAAUAUGAAUAACUAAUAUUAACAUCUAAUGACUAAUACUGACAUCUAAUAAUUAAGAUGCUCUUCCCCUAAUAACAUGCUAUUCUAAUUUUUAUAUACAGUAGAGUCUCACUUAUCCAACACUCGCUUAUCCAACAUUCUGGAUUAUCCAACGCAUUUUUGUAGACAAUGUUUUCAAGACAUCAUGAUAUUUUGGUACUAAAUUCAUAAAUACAGUAAUUACUACAUAGCAUUACUGCAUAUUGAACUACUUUUUUUGUCAAAUUUGUUGUAUAACAUGAUGAUUUGGUGCUUAAUUUGUAAAAUCAUAAACUAAUUUGAUGUUUAAUAGGCUUUUCCUUAAUCCCUCCUUAUUAUCCAACAUAUUCGCUUAUCCAACAUUCUGCUGGCCCGUUUAUGUUGGAUAAAUGAGACUCUACUGUGUGUGUAUAUAUAUAUAUAUAUAUAUAUAUAUAUAUAUAUAUAACAUAUUGUAUAUACAUAUAUUCAUAAUAUUAUAUUGUAAUACGAUAUACUAAUAA
rnacentral:lncRNA from 11 species